UACAGAGGUGGCGAGCGUUAUUCGGAAUUAUUGGGCGUAAAGGGCGCGUAGGCGGCUUGACAAGUCCCGGGUGAAAUCCCUCGGCUCAACCGAGGAACUGCCUUGGAAACUGUCUGGCUUGAGGCCGGGAGAGGGUAGUGGAAUUCCCAGUGUAGCGGUGAAAUGCGUAGAUACUGGGAGGAACACCGGUGGCGAAGGCGGCUACCUGGACCGGUUCUGACGCUGAGGCGCGAAAGCGUGGGUAGCAAACAGG
rnacentral:rRNA from 3 species